AGAGUUUGAUCCUGGCUCAGAACGAACGCUGGCGGCGUGCUUAAUACAUGCAAGUCGUGCGAGAACGUCCGGCUUCGGUUGGACUAGUAAAGCGGCGAACGGGUGAGUAACACGUGAGGAACAUGCCCCUAUGUCUGGGAUAAGCUUGCGAAAGCGGGUCUAAUACCAGAUUCAGUCGGAGAUUGGCAUCUUUUUCCGACUAAAGGCGGUUGAGUCUAUGCCGUCGCAGAGGGAUUGCCUCGCGCUCCAUUAGCUUGAUGGUAGGGUAAUGGCCUGCCAUAGCUGCGAUGGAUAGCCGGCCUGAGAGGGUGACCGGCCACACUGGGACUGAGAUACGGCCCAGACUCCUACGGGAGGCAGCAGUAGGGAAUAUUGCACAAUGGGCGCAAGCCUGAUGCAGCAACGCCGCGUGGACGAUGAAGCUCCUUGGAGUGUAAAGUCCUGUCAGUGGGGACGAACCGCACCGGAAGGAAAUGUCCGGUGCCUGACUGUACCUGCAGAGGAAGUUCCGGCUAACUCCGUGCCAGCAGCCGCGGUAACACGGGGGGAACGAGCGUUGUUCGGAUUUACUGGGCGUAAAGGGCACGUAGGCGGAAAGGCAAGUCAGAUGUGAAAACCCGGGGCUUAACCGCGGGCCUGCAUUUGAAACUGCCUUUCUUGAGUACGGGAGAGGAUGGCGGAAUUCCUGGUGUAGCGGUGAAAUGCGUAGAUAUCAGGAAGAACACCGGUGGCGAAGGCGACCAUCUGGACCGAUACUGACGCUAAGGUGCGAAGGCCGGGGGAGCAAACAGGAUUAGAUACCCUGGUAGUCCCGGCGGUAAACGAUGGGUACUAGGUGUUGGGGGUAUCGACCCCCCCAGUGCCGCAGCUAACGCAUUAAGUACCCCGCCUGGGGAGUACGGCCGCAAGGUUGAAACUCAAAGGAAUUGACGGGGGCCCGCACAAGCGGUGGAGUAUGUGGUUUAAUUCGACGCAACGCGAAGAACCUUACCUGGGCUUGACAUGCUUGGGAAAGCUACAGAGAUGUAGCCUCCUCCUUCGGGAGGCCCUUGCACAGGUGCUGCAUGGCUGUCGUCAGCUCGUGCCGUGAGGUGUUGGGUUAAGUCCCGCAACGAGCGCAACCCUUGUUCCUAGUUGCCAUUCGUUAACUCGAGGAACUCUAGGAAGACUGCCGGCGACAAGCCGGAGGAAGGUGGGGAUGACGUCAAGUCCUCAUGGCCCUUACGUCCAGGGCUACACACGUACUACAAUGGUCGGUACAGAGGGUCGCAAGACCGCAAGGUGGAGCCAAUCCCUAAAACCGGCCUCAGUUCAGAUCGGAGUCUGUAACUCGACUCCGUGAAGUUGGAAUCGCUAGUAAUCGCGCAUCAGCAUGGCGCGGUGAAUACGUUCCCGGGCCUUGUACACACCGCCCGUCAAGCCAUGGGAGCCGGGGGUACCCGAAGCCGUUGAUCUAACCGCAAGGAGGACAACGUCGAAGGUAAAAUCGGUGACUGGGGCUAAGUCGUAACAAGGUAACC
rnacentral:rRNA from 1 species